UUUUACAGGACAUAGGGAGAAUUGUCAAGUUCUUGAAGUUCGAGGAUUUCGUCAAGUCAAACAACUUUUUAAGGCAGAAGUGUACUUGGUUCUUGUCUUGUCUCCCAGCGGCAAUCUGUACAAUCUAGGUUUUUGUCAAGUACCACCAAGUUAAGUCAAGGCAAUAGACUUACUUGCCGUGGGAUAGAGUUCAGGCAUUCUAGCCAAGGGAUCAUGUCAAUUCUGAUGUGCACAGGGAUGGGAAAAUAAAAGAAAUCGCUCUCCAACUUUCAAGCUCCUCAGAACCUCCAUCGAAGAAAACGCAGCAUCCGUAACCUCGUAUUGAACUGCAAGUGCUUGUUGACCCUUGUUGGUUACUUUAUAUGACCCAAUAGCAAAAAUAGAGUUUUUGAACAUACUGACACUGUGCCAAGCUUAAUUUCAGAAAGUGUGUCGGAACUAAUUGAAUGCCGGAACUGAUUGAAUGACUGUAUCGUGGCUUUUGGAAUGGUUACAGUCAUAGUGCAUCUUCAUUGAUGGAAGCUCUUAGACACAAAUGAAUGGUGUACCGAGUGAGUCGUAUUCUUUAAUUUGGUUCAUUAAAUUCAAUUCAGUGAUAGAAAGAAUCUAAGUAAUAUUUUAAGAAUGAUCGAAAAUGCGGUCAUAUUGUAGACAGUAGGUCAAUGGCGUAGCUUAAAGAGGGAACUGUAGGCUAUAAGCUUGAGCGUGCACAUAAUGUCUGUCUGCCAGCUGUUUGCAUGUUUAAUUUGAACCACAAGUAAUAUUGUUUAUAUUGUAAAUGCAUUAAGCAUUAUUGUGAAGGUGUAAACAUUCAAAUAAUAUUAUUGUCCAUUCUUUAGCCCGUUUUUAAUUUAUUUUAUUUUACAAGUACAAGCACCAGGCGAGCUUAGUUUAUAGCACAUCUGACUGAAAAAGUAAUAAUAAUAAAAAUAAAAGAACUAUCGAAGUGUGAGGGGUCACAGGUUCAAGGCCCAUAUUGAGCACUGGCUGGUUAGGCCCUACGUAAGAUAAGAUUUCUAAUUUUAAUUAUAAAGGUAAUGUUAUUUGUGCUCAUUUUGAAUCAAUAAAAAAGGGGAAAAAAUAUGGGCAAAUUAUUAAUGGGGCGCUGUGUUGUUUUUCGUCCUUUAAGUUUCACAACGGGGCUAAAGCAUUGAGCUAUUGUACCUUUCAUUGUACCUUUUGGUGUAAUGACUGAAAUGCAAGCAUAAAUGCUUGGUUGCGGAAUUAUUUGUCCAUAUGUGCUAUUAGCUAAAAAAAUUAUAUAUACUGCCAACCAGUUGUUACGGCAGCUUAAAAAAUGUAAUGAUAAAUAUAUAGGCUGAUUACAAGCGUGUAAGCUUGCGUAAACAGGGAUAUAAAUAAGCAGGGGCACAGUAGCCCUUGGCCUCUAGAUAUUUGGCUGGGCCCCUAAAUUGUUGGAUAAAAUGCCCAUAUACCCAAUGUUUAACAUUUAGUUUGGACAGUCUGGGCCCCUAAAUGAAAAUAGCUAGUUUAUAUCACUGGUUUGGCAGAUAAUAUGCCUGCAGCCACGUCUUCAUAAUCUGUGCAGCUAUGUACUUUUGUUGUGGGGGCACAAGUACAUGCUUUAUAUUGGUUUAAGGGGUAAAAUAAAAAAAAAAGUAAAACCCCUUAACUGUUAGAGGCAGCCUUGACUAUAAAAAAGUGUCGGCUGAAGUGUCGUCUAUGUCGGCUUCCCUUAACUGACCUGCGCUUAUAUACUUCAAGGUAAAAUGUGCUUCUCAUCGGCCGUCCCCAAGCGUCGAGAGUUGCAAAAAAAAGAAAGUUAAAUAGAAAUAAAUGUCUUUGCUAAACCUCUAACAACCAGGGUCCCACCAAAGAGGACCCCCUUGAAGCGUAUCCGUCUGUUUGGUCAGUGCAGGUCUGUGUUUGGGAAUAACUGUAUGCGCAGUACAAGCGUACUGUAUCCUUUUGUCCUUUGAACAAUUAGGUUUUAGUAAAAAUAGCAAAAUUCGUACAAGUAAAUUUUGUCUAUAGCUAAUUUGAGUUCCGCAUAUAAGGGCAUGGCAGUGUUGAUUCCUGUUUAGUUGGUAUUUUUUGCAUGAUUCGGGCAUAAUAUGUUGUCUUGACCUGUCCAGUUAGCGUUCAAGUGCAUUGUCAUAAAUAGUCUUUAAUGUUCAGCUCUUUCAUUAAUUUUCAUGCUUAUUUAGGGAAAAUACCUCCAGGUCAACAUUAAAAAUUAAAUUUAUAAAAGAAAUAGUCGUUGGUAUAAGGUAUUAGAAAUGAUAUGGGUGACUACACUUUCAUGAUAUGCAUGUCAGACAGCCAGACUGCAUUUUCUAGCCACCUUACAGGUCCUUUUCUCUUCGUGAGUUUUGUUUUCCGAGGAGUAUCACAUAUGAGACUAAUACCAUAAUCUUACAUCCGUUCUGCUGCUGUUUCAUUCAUAUUUUUUCAGCGGCAUUGGCUAAAUUAUUGUCAUCACAGAUUCCAUCGAUUGGCACACAACGGUUCACAAAUUUCUUACUGUCGCCAUGUUUCCAGUGAUUGCCGAUAUGGGUUGUAUACCUGUUGUGAUGGACAUCCGAAAAAAAUCUAGAUGAGCAUUCAAUUAACAGGAUGAUUUGUAUCUGUAGCCAUCUAUUGUAGUGAAACAUCUCUAUUUUAGAAAAGGCAAGUAUCUUAUAUACAUGUUUAUAUACAUAUAAACAAAUCAUAAUAACUGUCUAGGACGGAUCGCCCCCGAUACAUACAUUUUAUUUAUUUAGCUGAUUAAUGAAACAUUAUCAUGACCAUUUUCUAACCAUAUUAAGGGGCUUGCCUCUGCGAGGACACCAAAAUGCUUUAAUUUUGCAAAACUGUGUAGUAUAUUUAUGAGAAACAUAAGCAUAUGUUUAAUAUCUACUUUGAAAUGCUUAUAGAAUAUUAAAGAAAUGAAAUUCUACCCUUUUUUUCUUACAUCACUUUUAAAUUGCUCUACUGUCGUUUAUGUUAUAUGUUUAUUUCUCAGUGUGUUUAACAUGUUUAACAAAUGUGCCACAGAAGCGGCUACAUUAUCAAAUAAUGACAGUACAUUCUCGUGUUUAAAAAAAAAAUCUUGAGGGGUAUCAUUUUAAGACAGACGUUUACAUUUAUACACUGGUGGAAUUCGCCCAUUUUGUUGAAAUGUGUUAGGUCCAUGUUUUGGAGAAGAAAUUUUAAACAUCAUCGAAUCAGAGAAAGUAAUGAUUGUUUUACACGAAAAUUUAAUGUAGCAUACACAGCAUUUUUCAUUCUGUAAAUCCAUCGUCAAUUUACUCAUAUAUAUAUUUAUGUAUUGGGUUUCGAAAUGGCCUGCAUGAAGCGGUCAUACUUUUGUCAGUUCAGCGCCUUUGAAACCUCAGUAUUGUUAUAAAAAAAUGUUACAUGUCUUCCUUUGUUGCAUUUGCAACAAUGUAAGAAUGCUUAAUAUUUACAUAUCUAGGUUAAACGUCGUUUUUGACUAUUUUUUAAUUUUAUUUAUGUACAAAUGGCAUUAUUUUUGUAAGGGAACAAAUCUUUUCGAAUAUUUAAUUAUCCAAUUCUACGGGACAGAACGGUAAAAUAAAAUGUGUUUGACGGAUGGGUUGUUUAUAAAGAUGUUGAUCGUUCACUAAAAAUUUCUAUGGUUUUCGGAUAUACUGCUAAACCUUACACAAAUUUCUACUUUGAUAUGAUAAAAGUAAUGCUUGGUUUUAACCUUGGGGCAAUUAUUAUUUUAUUCAGCAGUUUCAUUUAUUUAUAAUGUAUAUAUACGUAUGUAAAAAUAAUAAUUUGAGUGGCCCUUCAACACACAUAAGUGCAUUUCAGGUAUGGCACUAGGCAAGGUGAUUAAUAAUAAAAGACGGAAAAUAAUGAUUCAAAUCAGUUCUUUGAUAAUGUUUAUUGCUAACAGAUAUUCCCCCCUUUUGCAGCCAUCGCUGGGGAUGAUUGUUCUUUCGAUUGAUUCAAAUUUUAUCUCAUUAUUUAAUGUAUUCUGUUUGUACCUUUGCAGUGUCGCUGGGGCAAAUGAAAUUAGGUUAUUUGCAAUAUACAUCUUUAGCUGUUUGUAUAGUAUGUGCAUUUUAAACAUUAUCUCACCUUGCCAGUUGCCAUGAGAAAUCUUUAAAUAAAGUCGCGGCCUUUUCCCACUAAACUGUGUUGUAGUUUUCAUUUAUACUGAUAUUUUAGUUGUAGUGGGUGUGACAGACGUAUGUGGUCGGACGCUAACUCAUCUGCCAACGAAAUGAUGUGAUUAACAGUCAUUAAUAAAUUUAUUCUUGUUUUCUUUUAAAAUGGCUGAUGAUUUUGCGUCUUGCUAAUGGCUGCUGUCAUUCCCUGUUAUAUACGGUCCAUUGAUAAAAUAAUUGGUUUUAUGUUGCCCUUUUUGCAUAAUAAACUUGUUUAUUUUUCAUGGACCACUGUCCCAGUAAGGAGGUCGCUACGAGAACAGUAUUUUAGUAUUCAUUCAUGCGCUAGUUGUUUCCCUUAGUAUUUUGGACGCAAUUUGUAAUGAAAAAAGCGUGAAUUUCGUUUUUGGAUUUGCUACGUUUGCAUGGCUAUUUCAAUCCACGUCAGCAAUGGAACAACAUAGACUUUCACUGAAUUUAUCCCACCCGCCCAUGCCCAUAUUUAUUCAUAUUGUUUAUAACUUUAUUGUGAAUCAGAAAUCUUUGCUGCUUCUGUUCAUCUGUUUUUCAGGUUCCUGCAUAGAAGAUCUGUUUCAGAUCAUAGAAUAUGCCAUAAGGGAACAGGAAAAUAGCAGAAAGUGGUAUUCCCACAAACAACACACACAGCUAUGAAGUGACUGAUUUGGUCAUAUAAUAAAGUUUACGAUCAUUCUUUGAGAGGAUGUAUCAAUAAAGUUAACGAUCAUUCUUUGAGAGGAUGUAUCAAUAAAGUUUACGAUCAUUCUUUGAGAGGAUGUAUCAAAAUAAUGACAUGGAUUUUGUGAGAUUAUUGCUAUGAGAACUACUUUAGUAAUGAACUGGAAUACCCAUACGGUCAGGCACUUUAGUGUUAGUGCUGUUAGUAAAUGUUGUUCGUAAAUGUUCUGUUGAACACCAGAAACUCAAACUGAUAGAUGUAUAAAUAUAUAUGUUAACGUUAUUAUUUGUCGCGGCUUUAUAACGUUUUCAUAGAAUAUUGAUUCUAAUUUGAAAUUGCACUGUGGGAGUAGAAGAGACCAAAACCAUAUGCAUUAAUUUUAAAGUAAUCGCAUUACUUGGAAGUAAUAUUUUAAUUCAGAAUGGUAUCAAGUUUAUUGAAUAGUCAUGUUUUUGUUAGUGUUCUGUGUAGUGAAGGAAAUAGCUUAUAAGCCUUGGUUAAUGGUACGCCACUUUGAAAAGCUGCCGACCACCGAUCAUGGUUUAUAUUUGUUUAAGGAAAAUGUCAUGAGUCUUACAAGUGUUAGCAGAAGCCUUGUCAUAGUUUGCCGGCGUAUAAGUCUUAAAUGUGGGUCUGCACUUGUGUUUUAAUGAAUGUGUAGUACAAUCUCUCGGCUGAAAUUGGCUAGAAGCCACUAAUAAUUCGGUCGAGGACUGAGAGCCAAGGCAUUGUAGAAUACUGUUUAAAUAUAAGUUCAUUAUAACUAAUUAAAACCAAAAACGCAUUCCAGCAUAGUUGGGCCUGCUGUCUAAGUCACUGUGUCAGUACCUGACGUCGAAGGUGGAUCACAUGUUGUGUUAUUACAUGACGUCAUAGGUUGAAGGCAGUAGGAUUAGGUAGUCUGGAGACUCGACGUGAUCAGUUUUCAGUUACUUUGCUCAAUGGCUGGUCUGCUAUCGACACCUGGGUCGCAUGUUUUGCUCGCCCCCACGAUACGUGAAUUUUCAUUUGACUGUACAUGCCUUCGUUUCACAGUGCAGACCUAUCUUCGGGACCUUAAGUGCAUAAAUGGUCAGUGACACGAGUAAAGUUUUUCUUCAUACGGGACAUUUAAUUAUGAUGAACACCGUUUUUUCAAAUUAAUUCAUAAAACUUUUAUAUAAAGUGUAUAUAUAAUGCACUUACAUGUACUUUCGUGUUCUUCUGCUCCCGCAGUUUUGUAAAGUUAGGCAUGGCAAUUAUACGAAAUUGUUACAGAAAAAUGAUAGUCGUAGAGUAUUGAUAUAUAUUUUAGCAUGCUUGAAUUCGUUCCGUUUUUCAGUAUUUCGAGGAAUAGUCUGAGCAUUUCAAUGUGUUAUACAUUGGCUACGGAAACACGUUUCCUCCUGUCCUAGUUAAAAUCGGGGAGGGUGUUUUUCGUGGGCGGCUCGUAUUCCGUUUGAGAAAUAUACAAUCGAAUUUGUUCACCGUAAAAAGUGUAGCGGCUUUAACUGUAUUAUCUAAUAUACAGAUUCGAUUGUGGCAUGCAUAUCAAUUGAUAUGACGGCAUCUUGUAUAGCAUUUGUACAUAUUUGAAUAACAUUUACAUUUUGAUGCCGUAAGUUUGUUUUUCUAUUAUCAGAAUGUAAAAUUGUUGAUUACUGUUUUCUGUUAGAAGAAAGAUACUUUUGUUCUCUAAUAACUUCUAUGUACAGUUAGUAUUUUCCCCCCUUUUGCAGCCAUCGCUGGGGAUGAUUGUUCUUUCGAUUGAUUCAAAUUUUAUCUCAUUAUUUAAUGUAUUCUGUUUGUACCUUUGCAGUGUCGCUGGGGCAAAUGAAAUUAGGUUAUUUGCAAUAUACAUCUUUAGCUGUUUGUAUAGUAUGUGCAUUUUAAACAUUAUCUCACCUUGCCAGUUGCCAUGAGAAAUCUUUAAAUAAAGUCGCGGCCUUUUCCCACUAAA